rnacentral:rRNA from 1 species
CUCGUAGGCGGUUUGUCGCGUCGUCUGUGAAAUUCUGCAACUCAAUUGCAGGCGUGCAGGCGAUACGGGCAGACUUGAGUACUACAGGGGAGACUGGAAUUCCUGGUGUAGCGGUGAAAUGCGCAGAUAUCAGGAGGAACACCGGUGGCGAAGGCGGGUCUCUGGGUAGUAACUGACGCUGAGGAGCGAAAGCGUGGGAAGCGAACG